rnacentral:snRNA from 1 species
CACCUUGGUCCAGGCUAGAGUCAUUUGAACAGAGAUUAGCAUGGCCCCUGUGGAAGGAUGACAUGCAAAUAUAUGAAGCGUUCCAUAUUUUU